GGGAGUGCAGUUCAGUGGUAGAACACUUGGCUAGCAUGCUAUAGAUCCUGGGUUCAACUCCUAGCACUAGCCA
rfam:Cricetulus griseus cell line CHO-K1, whole genome shotgun sequence.